UCUAUGUUCCUGAAUGAUGAUGAAAUGUAAGGCUUGUGUUUCUAGUGUGCCGACCCUCUGAUAGAUAGAUAGAUAGGUGUAUAUAAGGAUAGAUAAAUAGAUAGAUAUCUGAUGAAAUACUGACUAGAAUUUCUUGUUUUUAUGUAUUAGCAUGCAAACUGCAUGUUCAGCACCAAAAAAAGCCUUUACACGUGAGUCACGUGACAGGAACAUUCUGAAACCAUGGACUGGAAUCAGAUGGCUGAAUAUUAUUAUAAGUCCGGGAUCCUUUGUAUGUUGAGAACCCGGAUACAUGGAGGUGUGUGAUUGAUUACAGAGUUGGGUUUAUUGCAGAGGAAAAGGGGAAGGAGCCGUGUUCCAUGUAAACAUUCUCUUAAAUGUUACUGGAAACAAUAACAUAGAGUAUCUAGCAGCCUGGAAUAGGGAGUUGUUUUUUCUUUACUCUACAGCUGAAUUUAGAUCUUUGAAAACUGUUUUCAGCUAACAGACCAAGCCCGAACCUCGUCUAUUAUUCACCGUAUGGGAGGAGAAGAGUUCUUUCUUCAG